GAAGGGGCAGGGGCAGCCAGCAGGGGAGCAUGAAUACAAAGCACUUUAACAUUUUAAAUUUCAUAUUAUAGACUUCAGCCAACUUUUUACUUUUUACUCUACUGACUCCAGUGCUACUUAUACAGUAAGUUAACACCAGGCUGAAAAGCAGCUAAGUAAUAAACCACCCUCUGUUUCAGCUCUGACCACAUCCAAUCACACCCAACAGUGAGGGACAUACUCGCGAAACAUUACAAGGAUAAAAGCAUCACCUUCAGUUCAGAGUCAGAAGAAAUGAAAAGCACAUGGCAUGUCAGUCCUGAUUUUAGAACUCCGAGUUUUUGGUCUAAGAGUUAUUCACAAAACAUUUUAGCCACUAAAACUAGCUCCUAACUCCAAGGGAAAUUAGAGAGAGUCCAUUAGACACCUGGGCUGGCAUGUGUAAAGCCACUAAGAGUGAAGUUUUGUUCUAAAGCUGGAAUUAUACUUUUCCAGGCUGCAUGUUGGUAAACGUGCACAGUGAGGUCACUCAAAUGCGUUUGCUCGGCUGUUUCUUUAUACUUGUUAACUUAUGUGUACACCGUAUCAGCCUCUGCAAGCUAAAGUUACCCAUAACAUCCCUUUCUGUGUAUGUUCACAAAGACAUUUAUAUCUUUGGAGAAACAUAAUUCCAGCUCAAUGGGUGAAUCAAAAUUCUAAUUCUAUCUCUCUUCUCUUUGGGCACCAACGUGAAAUUGCCAAGACACCAGGAACCUGAACUUGAGCCUGUGCGUAAAGUUGUCACUGGGUGUUCAGAUUAUUUUGCAGAGGUGAAGGGCAUUUUCCUAACAAACACGGGCUCAACUUAACAACUCACCUUCAACCCUUAACAUUCGAAACAUUUUUAUAACAGAUCUUUCAUUGAGAUACACCAGUGAAGUGAAAAAGUCAGACAGGGUAAACUUAAGUCUCCAUUACUAAAUUUCAGCUCUUGAGGGCGGCGAAAACUGCAAGCAAUUCUUUCAAGAAACCAUUUAGAGGCUCACAAAGAAUCCACAGCACAGGAAUAACAGGAAUACACCAUUCAGAUUAGCAAAAGUGAUGUUUUGUACUUCUGCAGUUAUGUAAAGCUGUUAGAUGUUUGAUGUGAGUUUGGACUUUAAACUUGUUAAACUGGCUCUGAGAAAAGGAGUUAUCUUACAAUUUAUUACACCACUAAACCCUCAGUUAAACACUGCAAUCACGUUGACAACAGUGAGACAGUGAGACUCUUAUUUUGUACCUCUUGCUCUGUUAAUAGUUACAAACAAAUACAAGUGAAUACAUAACACUUUGACCUUUUGUCUCAGUGCUAAGCCAAGAAAAAUAUUAAAGAGUCUCAUUUGGUAGAAGAGCAGGUUCAAAAGUCUGAGUCCAAUACCAAGAACUGUAGUAUUUAUAAUCAUUUACUUUAAUGGAGGUUAUAUUUGAUGAAUCAUAGUUGUGGUUCAGGCAGAGAACUGCACUUAUACUGGCUGAUUGGCAUCAAAAUCUAUUAUGAUAGAUGUUAAUUAUGGGGUUAGCUCUCUCCACAGAAUCCUUAUUGCUUGCACUUUCUGAUAAUAUAUAUAUGCAUAUGUAUAACCAUUUGCUAAAAAUGGUCAGUUCCUUGAAAUAAGUGUCUCUGAAUGAGCUGUCAGUUAACUUAAGUUCACUUUAAAGGCUUAUGUUCUGUUUGUCAGUCACUACACUUAUUUUUACAGCUAAAAAACAUGGUCAAAGCAAUAGGUUUGCAACAUUGAUUCUUCACAACUUUCCCUGAUUUUACUCAUAAACAUGACUUUGAGGUGAUGACAUGUUUUAGAUGCCCACUACAGAAUAUUGUGCACCUCUGCUUAAUAUGUCAGAAACCAAAGCUUUAAAACCUGGUUAAAUGCAAUGUGUUUUAUAAACUUUUUAAAUAUUAUUUUAUAUGCUAUAUAUCUGCCAUUGUCAUUGACAGUACUUUUUUUAUGGUGCAACACCCCUCACAGAGCAUAUCAGAGCAAAAACAAAGCUAAGAGGAGGAUAGAACUGCCCUGCAGAGGUCAGAGACAGGAUUUUGUUGAGGCACAGAUUUUGGGAAGGCUUCAAAAAUUUCUGCUGCAUUGAGGGUUCACAUGAGUACAGUGGGCUCUAUAAUUCUUACAUGGAAGGAAUUUGGAACAACCACAACUCUUCCUAGAGCUGGCCGCCCAGAAAAAACUGAGCAAUUGGCGGAGACGGGCCUUGAGUUGACUGAGAUCCCGAUGGUCACUCUGGCUGAGGGAAGUUUUUGCUCCACCAUUUUUGUUGUUUGCACACAGAUGCUGUUUUGUUGUAUAUGUACUAUUCUUCAUAAGGGCCUGAAAACAACUUCUGAAAAAUAUCUCCACUUUAUGCCAUAUCUCCAAAUACUUCCUCACCAGAUUUCAGUCAUUAUAUCCCAUUUAAGUCUGUGCAGUGAUAGUAAGACACAUUUUAUUGUCACUAAAUGUACCAUUAAAGAAUAACAUUAUGUCACAGGGGCCCUCCUAUCUGGGACUCACAUUCCUGGAUAUCACACACACAUCUCACAAGGUCCUUUUGGCUUUUCUCUUUCCUCAUUCUGGAAGCAACAGCUCCUCCAACAGGCAACUCAAAAAACUUAUUUUUAAUUUAAUAGCUCUCUAACUGCAGCACUGAUGGGACUGUUUCCAGUAGUUUUCAGUGUCUGGCAAGAUUUCAGGAUCUAUCAGACACAUGUUUUCUAAAAGUUUAUGAUAAGUUCAAAUAACCAUGAAUGAUAAAUUAUGCUCUUGCUGGCUGAAAUAGGGUCUUACGGCAAAAUGUCACUAUAACCUGGCUAAAUAUCUGUGCCAGUAAAUCAUUUUGUGUGUGUAAUUUAAUGUCAUGUAUUUAGGCUGCUAAAUGAUUUUAUUGACAGCAUGUCUGAGCAGCCAAACCUAACAAAAUUUUUUAUUUUUUUUUUUUAUUUUUUUUUUUUAAAGAGAGUUGCUGUUGUUUAAGGUGAUGUUGUGAUUCUUUGAAUUGGAGCAAAGUUCCAGGGUGGAUCCACUGCAGCAAAAACACUGAGGUGUUAUCAGGAACAGCCCAUAAUAACAGUUGGCAUUAAGACUUACUUUACUGCCUCUGGCUGCAUCCCAUCACCAGUACAGUAUGACAGAGUGUUGCUGUCACUAACACAGUGCCAAAGUCCUGUCUGCUGUGGAACUGGGUCUCUGCUGGUGCUGGUGUUUUUAUCCAGGGGGCUGUAGGGUCAUGGCUUUAUCAAACACUCUUAUCCCUCUUGUUUGUUUUUCUUUGUGUUGCCCCAGUUAUCACUGCUCCACAUUGUCCCAUUACUUGCUUUAUGUAAAGCCUCAUACCUGUUACCUAUAAAACUCUUUCAUUAACUUCAUGGAUCUUACUGCUCUACACUCAAAAUUUGCUAAGCUGGUAUGACAGCAUUAGACUGAAACACAUAACACAUAGAUUUUUUUCCAGUGAAAAUUAUGCAUUGUGUAAGACAUAUAAUUAAGAUGAUUUUAUUAAAUUAUUAGUAUGCGAUGCACAUCAGUUUUAAGGUGAUGUUUUUGUUGUAUGUGUAUGACUGUGAUGAGUUGUGAUUCUUGUUUUUCAGCUGAUGUACUUUCUCUUAGACCUGAUUCUGGGAUCUUUUCCUCUGCAGAGUCACAGUCCUAAAGUUCACGGUCACCUCAGUUGAGGGUGUGGCACAGCUUCUGAUCACGGGCUCACCUGCUCUCCAUUAGUCAUCACCUGCACUAUAAGAACCCCUGGCUGUCCCUAAAAUUGAUUGAGAACGGCAGAAAAAAAAAAGUCACUCAGGCUGUUGUGGUAUCUUAGACAAAUUUUUAUUCAGAAUGGGUCUAAGUGGAAAUACAAGAGUUUAUAUCUUUAAAUAAAAAAGUUAUCACCAGUAAAUUCACAAAACCCGCCACAAAGCGCUUUUAUCCACUUCACGGCAGCUAAAAAGCCAUUUCGGCGUCCCUGACGAUAACUGCAACGAUGUUAUUGCACCACUCUGUAGUCUGAGAAUUCAGGUAUGAAAAAUGUAAACUUGUAGCCAGUCCAAGACUAAUGCAGGGAGCGUUUUAUGCCCGUGCGUGUGGAUGCAGGUUUGUGUGAGGGCUUUUACCAGGGAAAAAAAAAACAAAAACAAAAAAACAAA